rnacentral:lncRNA from 1 species
GUGGCUGAGAUCAAGGGAAUAUAUUUCUGCUCUUGUUCUCACAACUCUCGAUAUAUCCCCUUGAUGUGCCUACGUACCCCUUUAUAUAGGGGAUCAAGCCGUACGUAGUUCUAUUGAACCAAGACUCCUAGUUUGAUCAGGACUAGGCCUCUUGGGGAUAAGACCAACCGUGGGUCGGUGACUUAUCACUUAGAGUUCUACUCCAGUUAGAAGUAAGCCUUGAGGCAACUACCUUAGAAUCCUAGUCCAAGUACAUCACGGAUACGGCAUCAUCUCCACUACGAGAGAUGACACUAACCGCUACUCUUCGUAGCAUGGAGGAGACAUCGGAUAGAGCCGUGACCACUCCUACGAGGCGUAGGGACGCGUCCUUACCCCCUAGUGAAGGUUCUCACUAAAAGGUAAGACAAAUGAGGAGCCAAGUUACACGAUCGUCCCAGUCCCCCAAUGAGGACUAACUCACCAGAAUACAGGACCCGGACAUAUGAUCGGCCUUCAUGUUACCCCUGAGGGCCUUCUACAAUCAUGAUCACCCCAAGCCCCCGCACGAGGACAACCCGGCAGAUAGCAGGAUUGGGGAUUAUAGAUCAUGCCCGGACGUAACCCGGGAACUACCAGAUGAGCCUGAUAACUACCAGAUGAGCCCGGCA